rnacentral:rRNA from 1 species
GACGGAGGGUGCAAGCGUUGUUCGGAAUUACUGGGCGUAAAGGGCGCGUAGGCGGUCUGUUAAGUUCGGUGUGAAAGCCCCCGGCUCACCUGGGGAACUGCGCCGGAAACCGACAGACUCGAGUACCGGAGAGGAGGGUGGAAUUCCUGGUGUAGCGGUGAAAUGCGUAGAUAUCAGGAGGAACACCGGUGGCGAAGGCGAGUCCCUGGACAGGUCCUGACGCUGAGGCACGAAAGCUAGGGGAGCAAACAGG